rnacentral:rRNA from 1 species
GACGAACGCUGGCGGCGUGCUUAACACAUGCAAGUCGAACGGAAAGGCCCUGCUUUUGUGGGGUGCUCGAGUGGCGAACGGGUGAGUAACACGUGAGUAACCUGCCCUUGACUUUGGGAUAACUUCAGGAAACUGGGGCUAAUACCGGAUAGGAGCUCCUGCUGCAUGGUGGGGGUUGGAACGUUUCGGCGGUUGGGGAUGGACUCGCGGCUUAUCAGCUUGUUGGUGGGGUAGUGGCUUACCAAGGCUUUGACGGGUAGCCGGCCUGAGAGGGUGACCGGCCACAAUGGGACUGAGAUACGGACCAGACUCCUACGGGAGGCAGUAGUGGGGAAUAUGGCACAAUGGGCGGAAGCCUGAUGCAGCAACGCCGCGUGCGGGAUGACGGCCUUCGGGUUGUAAACCGCUUUCGCCUGUGACGAAGCGUGAGUGACGGUAAUGGGUAAAGAAGCACCGGCUAACUACGUG